rnacentral:rRNA from 1 species
UGAGGAAUAUUGGACAAUGGGCGAAAGCCUGAUCCAGCGACGCCGCGUGAGUGAUGAAGGCCUUAGGGUUGUAAAGCUCUUUCAGUGGGAAAGAUAAUGACGGUACCCACAGAAGAAGCCCCGGCUAACUUCGUGCCAGCAGCCGCGGUAAUACGAAGGGGGCUAGCGUUACUCGGAAUUAUUGGGCGUAAAGCGUGCGUAGGCGGCUUAGUAAGUUGGAAGUGAAAGCCCAGGGCUCAACCUUGGAAUUGCUUUCAAAACUGCUUGGCUAGGGUGUCAGAGAGGAUAGCGGAAUUCCUAGUGUAGAGGUGAAAUUCGUAGAUAUUAGGAGGAACACCGGAGGCGAAAGCGGCUAUCUGGCUGAAUACUGACGCUGUUGCACGAAAGCGUGGGUAGCAAACA